AUUGCAUUGACCAAAUACAGAAUUUACUGAUUAUAUCACCAUCAUAAAUACAAAUGGUUGUAAAUUGAGGACUAUCUGCAUUUUGUUUCUCAAUAAGUACAACAAAACUAAUUUAUAGAUUAGAUUCUAUUUAAUGUAAUUAUAUUUAUCUAAGCAGUUAUGAUUUAUUAAUUUCUUAUUAACAUUAUCAUCAAAAUGAUUUUUUUUCCUGUUUUUGUAGAAAAUCUUUGUUCUCCAUAUAUAUGUUCUCAGACUCCAAGGGCUGAUUGUUUAGACGGAGUUUCUAUCGACCACGGUUUACAACAAAAACUGCGUCUAGACAGCAUUCAGAUAUGCCGUGGUUUUAAAUGCAUUGCAAAGAUGUUGACUAGGCUGCAUCUGUCAGAACUCCAGCGAAACCUUGGGUGUUACUGUAAUUCCUAUGCACCCCCGUCAUUUCAAAUUUUUCAGCCAAUCAGUAUCUCGGGCUCUAUUGAUGAUGUCAGUAAAAUGGUGGA
rnacentral:lncRNA from 1 species